GACGAACGCUGGCGGCGUGCCUAAUACAUGCAAGUUGAGCGAUGAAGAUUGGUGCUUGCACCAAUUUGAAGAGCAGCGAACGGGUGAGUAACGCGUGGGGAAUCUGCCUUUGAGCGGGGGACAACAUUUGGAAACGAAUGCUAAUACCGCAUAACAACUUUAAACAUAAGUUUUAAGUUUGAAAGAUGCAAUUGCAUCACUCAAAGAUGAUCCCGCGUUGUAUUAGCUAGUUGGUGAGGUAAAGGCUCACCAAGGCGAUGAUACAUAGCCGACCUGAGAGGGUGAUCGGCCACAUUGGGACUGAGACACGGCCCAAACUCCUACGGGAGGAAGCAGUAGGGAAUCUUCGGCAAUGGACGAAAGUCUGGCCGAGCAACGCCGCGUGAGUGAAGAAGGUUUUCGGAUCGUAAAACUCUGUUGGUAGAGAAGAACGUUGGUGAGAGUGGAAAGCUCAUCAAGUGACGGUAACUACCCAGAAAGGGACGGCUAACUACGUG
rnacentral:rRNA from 1 species